CCUACGGGUGGCAGCAGUGAGGAAUAUUGGUCAAUGGGCGCGAGCCUGAACCAGCCAAGUAGCGUGAAGGAUGACGGCCCUACGGGUUGUAAACCUCUUUUAUAAAGGACUAAAGUGAGGCACGUGUGCCGUUUUGUGUGUACUUGAUGAAUAAGGAUCGGCUAACUCCGUGCCAGCAGCCGCGGUAAUACGGAGGAUCCGAGCGUUAUCCGGAUUUAUUGGGUUUAAAGGGAGCGUAGGUGGGUUGUUAAGUCAGUUGUGAAAGUUUGGGGCUCAACCGUAAAAUUGCCAUUGAUACUGGUAGUCUGGAGUAAAGUAGAGGUAGGCGGAAUGCGUGGUGUAGCGGUGAAAUGCUUAGAUAUCACGCAGAACUCCGAUUGCGAAGGCAGCAUACUAACCUGCCACUGACAUUGAUGCUCGAAAGUGUGGGUAUCAAACAGGAUUAGAUACCCUAGUAGUC
rnacentral:rRNA from 1 species